GGCCAGACUCCUACGGGAGGCAGCAGUGGGGAAUAUUGCACAAUGGGGGAAACCCUGAUGCAGCGACGCCGCGUGAGUGAAGAAGUAUUUCGGUAUGUAAAGCUCUAUCAGCAGGGAAGAAAAUGACGGUACCUGAUUAAGAAGCCCCGGCUAACUACGUGCCAGCAGCCGCGGUAAUACGUAGGGGGCAAGCGUUAUCCGGAUUUACUGGGUGUAAAGGGAGCGUAGACGGCAGCGCAAGUCUGAAGUGAAAUGCCGGGGCGUAACCCCGGGACUGCAUUGGGAACUGCCCCGCUCGAGUGCCGGAGGGGCAGGCGGAAUUCCUAGUGUAGCGGUGAAAUGCGUAGAUAUUAGGAGGAACACCAGUGGCGAAGGCGGCCUGCUGGACGGUGUACUGACGCUGGGGCUCGAAAGCGUGGGGAGCAAACAGGAUUAGAUACCCCCGUACC
rnacentral:rRNA from 1 species